GAGAAGAAAAUUUCAUUUUUUCUUUCUUCUUCUUCUUCUCUUCCCUUCACCGCCAAGAAUUUUGAAGACAUCCAACUUCCAUUUUUUUUUCCUUCUUCAAUUUGUAGAGAACUUCUAAGAGAGAGUUUGGAAGAAGAAGAGAAAUUUUACUAGAAUUUUGAGGUUGAAGAAGAGGAGGAGAACUCAAGCAAAGUGUAUCCAUGGCUGAAUUUUAGUUCAUUCUGCACAUCAUUGGUUUUUAAUUCAGUUUAAACUCUUCAAAAGGAAUUAAGAGGUGAGAUUUACAUUUACUGAAAGUAAACUCAUUUUUAAACAAACUUUAUGAAGAACGUUGGAGCAAAUUCGGAUAUUCAUUUGGUGCUUUUUGAUGAAGAAAACAGGGCAGUUGGUUUUCACUCGAAAUUAGGAGGUCUCUGGUUUUUCUUGUAUUUCAGAGUGUAUCGGUAGAGUUAGAAUCUAUAUUUGAUAUGGUUGGAAAGCUUAUUCAAUUUUCUACAACUUUCAUGAAGAUAUUGUAAACCCAAAAUGACUAAAAAUCAGUUAAAUUGUAGGGGCAAGUUAAAGAGGUCGUGUGCGCGCGAUUCUGGAAGUGGUUCUGUUUUGAUGGUUAUAUGUGUUUAUGCACGGGGAAUCGGAUUUAUAUGUCUUCAGGCCGAGAAGAAUUAAACCGAGCUUAUAGACCAAGGAUCUAGCCCAAGACUGUAGAGAUCGAGUUCCCGGUGCCUGAUAGACUGGCUUAGUCUGCGGAAGCUUCAUUAUCGAUUGCCAGUACGUGUUUUGAGUUGGGCAUAGAGUCUGUUGUGUUGUGAUGUAUAUACACCCUUGUAUGUUAUAGAUACUCCACAGUUUGUAUAAGCUUUAGGAGCUGUAGUUGUGUAAAUUCUGUUUGUUAUAUUUUGAUUAAGGUGUCUUUAGGUUUACUCGUGAAAUCGAUAAAUUUUGAGGUACACUUCAUGUAUGUGUUUGACUAGCUGUGUUUGACUAGCCUAGGAUUCGCUGUGUUUUGUUGUAUGUAUAAUAGUUUAUAUACUAGAUUGGCAAGUUCAUCACAUGAAAGUUUUAAGCAGAGUCGACAGAUACAGGUACAGAAAAGCGUUGUUCGUCGGCUUCACACCAUCUUUUGGUCUAAGGUAGCAGGUAGUCCGGGAGGGGGUGUGACAUAGUCAUACAUUGAUAUAUGUUUUAUAAAUUUAUGUAGGUGAAUGAAAUGGAGUCUUAACUAGAGGACUAAAGAACCAACGAUGACAGGCAGCUUAUAUAAUCUUGGAACACUUAUGAAGAACUUUGUUUGUAUUUUGAGGGUUAAUUUGUGUGGUUGAUAUAUUUACUAAAUACUUUAUAUACCUUGGUAUAAUUUAGACCGCAACAUUAGUUAAGUAAAUUAUUGACUACUUUAUUUUUUGUAA